AUGUACUUCUGUGGAAAAGGAGACGGGUACACUAUUACGUUUUCUAAUGGCACAUUCUUAGCAGUGAGAGGUAAACCCCAGUUUAACAUAUCAGUUCUCCAAACACGAGUACUGGAGUCAGUUUCUCCAGGAGAGUCAGUCACUCUGCAGUGCAUGGUCCUCUCUGAGAUCAGAGCAGCUGAACUCCGAGUGCUCUGGUUCAGAGCUGCUGCAGGACAAUCCUUUCCUGAAAUCAUUUACACUCAUCAGAACAGCAGCAGCCGUCAGUGUGAGAUCAGCUCUUCUACACACAGCUCUGUGUACAACUUCUCCAAGAACAUCCUCGACCAGCACCAUACUGGAACUUACUACUGCGCUGUGGCUGCUUGUGGGAAGAUCAUUUUUGGCAAUGGAUCAUCAGUACAAUUAGCACGGCCUCUGGAUCCUGUAGUGAUCUGUCUGGGAGCAGCUUUAGGAGUGUGUGUGGUUGUGAUCUCUGUCCAAACCAUUUUAAACUGUAAAAGGAGAAACUGUGAACACUGCAGUGGUGAGUUUUCACUACAGUCACAAAACAAAAUCCUCAAUUUUUCAUCAAAGUGAUACAUUAUAUGAGAAAUUCUGCUGCAUCCAACUCAAAAACUAGAAAACACUUUCUUU